CAAACAGCACCACCAACCAAGAGUUCAACUACUCAAGCCUAUAGGGCUCAUUUCUCACUCGAACCAGCUCAAUGGGAAACUCUCAGGACACAGCAAUACAUGCAGGUAUGGGAGACAAUGGCAGCACUCAUGGAUGCCAAGCGACGGCUGCCUUUUGACAACGGACUUGUUGGAGAACCAUGCCAGCCUGGAAAUCGACACAGGUGCAGAACGGAUGCUGAUGUAGUUCUCGAUGCCUCGUGAAGACUGUGAAGUAAGUAUCUCAACAUUUCAUGCCCUGAAACCUGGAAACGAACACCCACAUUCAUCCCCGGUACCACUCCGUCCACAAGGCUUCAGCUGUGUUCUUCAAAGAGAAGCCUUUGACCCGCUGCAUCAUGACUCAGCUAUCAAUAUGUAACCUGUACCAAAUCCAUGUACUUCCCAAGAUGCUUCCACUUCAGGGUUUGAGUGAACAAUGAAAAGCCCUUGGGCCUUGCACAAGGGCACAGAAUUAUAAUCCCAUCAUGUGAGAGGCAGGAGAUCGUGAGUUGAAAGCAAGCUGGUGCUCUAUAGGGAGUUCGAGGACAGCAUGGGCUACACAGGGAUUCACUAUCUCAAAACACAAAGACUCUUGACUUGUAAGUGAUAAGACACUGAGAUUUUCUGAGCACUCAUCAUCUUGUGGGAACUGUGCUAAACUUGGACACCAACAACACUCACCACAGAGUGAAGGAGAGAGCAAUAUUUGGGCUAAUCAAGGCAAAGCUUUCUGAGGGAAGUAAUGUCUGACUUCAGUCUUGAGAAUAGAUCAGUCAGAUGAAAUUGUGAGAGUUCACCUAGGCAGAAAGGAUGGAGCAUGAGAGGUGUGGCCAGGCAUGAAUACCCACAUGCCUGAUGAUUGCACUAGGUCCAUGUACCUGCAGUAUUAGAACAUGUGCUAAAAAGAGGAAAGGGGGACAGGCAGUAGGGUGGCUCUCCAUAGUGUUCCUAAGUAGCCAUGAAACACCAUUUUUCUUCAGUAGAGAUAUCUGGGGCUCAAAACAGUCACUGGCAUUUUAAUCCCACAAGCAGAAUGGUAAAGCAGAAAAGACCUGUCAUUAAUUCCUCCCAGGUUUUUAGGUCAGUAGUCUCUAUAAUUGCCUUGUUUUUCUAAUUUGAAGAGAAUUCCUCAAGCAAUGAAGUUUGUGCUUAUAUAACUAUUUUUCUGCUCCCUUCUGACCUUUGACACUGAUAUUUGUUGAAACAGCUAUUUUUCACUAAAUUGAUCUAGACACUCAUUGACUAGCUCGUUGAGCAAGGCUGGUCAGAAGGGCCUUGGCUCUGAAGCCGAUAGAAGCCACCCCCAUCAUUUCCUUACUGCAGUAUGCUUGGAACUGUGGAAAGUGCUUCCUCACUGGAAGUCCUCACUAUGAAGGAGAUGCUAUUAGCAUUCCUAUCUUGUAGAUGGAAAAGAAAAAUAUGGCUUUGGAAAAGUAACAGCUCAGAAUGUCAGAACCAGGAUCCAAGUGAUUUAAUUCUAGAAUCUCCACUCUUGGCUAUCUCAUGCCACUGUGGUUAUAAAACGCUUCUUUGCAACAGCAAUCCAGAUUUUAGACCAGAAAAUAUUUAAUAUUCCCUGGAUAUCCAGGGAAGUAGACAGCCGUAAGUGUUCCAAAGGGGAAAGCUUAAUUCAGCAAAGGUUUUCUAUCUGCCAGGUGGAAGUCUGAUUCACAAUUCCUCUGAGAAAUUAGGGCGCCUGGAUAUGGUUCAGUAAUAGGACGUGGGCCUAGCAUGUGAAAGGCCUUGGGUUUGAUACCCAAGACUACAGACCAAAAAAGACAUUGGAAUUUUAAUUCUAUUUCCCUAUAAAACCCCAUUCUCUAAAGCAUGGACUUUAGGUAAUCACAAUGCAUCCACGCUUAUUUGUUAAUUGUAAUAAAUGUACCAUAUCCAACUAUGAUGCCAUCGACAGGAAAUGCCAUCUUUGCCAUU